UUGGGUGCCUAUAUCGGCGGUGUUCACCUCUUCCCAUUCCGAACAGAGCAGUUAAGCCCGCCCGAGCCGAUGGUAUUGCCGUAACAGGUGGGAGAGUAGGUCGGUGCCUUCU
rnacentral:rRNA from 2 species